GACGAACGCUGGCGGCGUGCCUAAUACAUGCAAGUUGAGCGCUGAAGGUUGGUACUUGUACCAACUGGAUGAGCAGCGAACGGGUGAGUAACGCGUGGGGAAUCUGCCUUUGAGCGGGGGACAACAUUUGGAAACGAAUGCUAAUACCGCAUAAAAACUUUAAACACAAGUUUUAAGUUUGAAAGAUGCAAUUGCAUCACUCAAAGAUGAUCCCGCGUUGUAUUAGCUAGUUGGUGAGGUAAAGGCUCACCAAGGCGAUGAUACAUAGCCGACCUGAGAGGGUGAUCGGCCAAAUUGGGACUGGAACAAGGCCCAAAAUCCUACGGGGGGCAGCAGUAGGGAAUCUUCGGCAAUGGACGAAAGUCUGACCGAGCAACGCCGCGUGAGUGAAGAAGGUUUUCGGAUCGUAAAACUCUGUUGGUAGAGAAGAACGUUGGUGAGAGUGGAAAGCUCAUCAAGUGACGGUAACUACCCAGAAAGGGACGGCUAACUACGUG
rnacentral:rRNA from 1 species